AACGUAGGUGGCAAGCGUUAUCCGGAAUUACUGGGCGUAAAGGGUGUGCAGGCGGGGUGGCAAGUGGUGUAUGAAAUCUCCCAGCUUAACUGGGAUAGGUUAUGCCAGACUGCUACUCUAGAGGACGAGAGAGGGGCGUGGAAUUCCGGGUGUAGUGGUGAAAUGCGUAGAUAUCUGGAGGAACACCGGUGCGAGGACGGCGAUCCUGGACCGGCAUUGACGCUGAGGCGCGAAAGCCAGGGGAGCAAACGGG
rnacentral:rRNA from 1 species